rnacentral:rRNA from 1 species
GACGAACGCUGGCGGCGUGCUUAACACAUGCAAGUCGAACGGUAAGGCCCUUCGGGGUACACGAGUGGCGAACGGGUGAGUAACACGUGGGUGAUCUGCCCUGCACUUCGGGAUAAGCCUGGGAAACUGGGUCUAAUACCGGAUAGGACCACUGCCUGCAUGGGUGGUGGUGGAAAGCUUUUGCGGGGUGGGAUGGGCCCGCGGCCUAUCAGCUUGUUGGUGGGGUGAUGGCCUACCAAGGGGACGACGGGUAGCCGGCCUGAGAGGGGGACCGGCCACACUGGGACUGGGAUACGGCCCAGACUCCUACGGGAGGCAGCAGUGGGGAAUAUUGCACAAUGGGCGCAAGCCUGAUGCAGCGACGCCGCGUGAGGGAUGACGGCCUUCGGGUUGUAAACCUCUUUCAGCACCGACGAAGCGCAAGUGACGGUAGGUGCAGAAGAAGGACCGGCCAACUACGUGCCAGCCGCCGCCGUAA